AUGGUACCUAAGCCAGUUUAUCCGCAACAACAACAAAUCAAGAGUAAAAACUGAAGCGUAUAUUGCUUAUGUCACGAUACGAAGAUUCUUACGGAGCGCCGUACAGUACAUGCGGGAAUUUUGAGACGCUACACCGGCAACAGAAUCUUGAAAGUUUUCACGAAGAAAAUGUAAAUGACAGAUAUUUUUGAUGUAAUGGUCAGUCCAGUUGAGACUAUUGUGCGACACGCCUGGUUAACUGAAGGAUUUUUCAUAUAGGGUAUUACGUGUUUGGUAGUGGUGUUUCUACUUGAGACGAGUUUGAUCAUCUUGUCUUCAGUGAAGAAAAGCAGAGUGAUAUGUUGUAAAGUGUGCAUCAGCUGAAAAACAAGAAUAUAGUCAAAUAUUUGUGGCAUCAAUGGAUGGAUAACUGUAUAUAAAGAUUUCUGCUACUGCUACAACAAGUGUUUGACAUAAGUUUUCAUAUUGGUGUCAUUCUCACUCAGUCUUCUUUAUCCUCUCUGGAACAUUUGGCCGCCACCACAAUUAGCUAUUGGAUUGGUGUAACAUGAUGCAACUACGACAGAUGAUAGAACACAAAGGAGACUUUAUGACUUUCCAGAUUUAUCAGUACUAACAAAUCUUUAUCAGUACUAACAAAUCUCCAUGUAUUUUAAUUUAGAAAAUAAUAUAUCUUAUUAGUGAUCUGUCGCUGAAUAAAUCAUUGUUUGGAGUUCAGGUACAAAGGAAUUAUAUCACGGGCGCAUCUUAACAACGAAAAAUGAUUUUAUUAACGAGCAAAUAACAAAAUGAGAAAUAUUACUUAGAUUGUAACAAGCUACAAAGGACUUCAAAGUACAACCUUGCCUGCAUUCAUUUUAUUUUUGCCGUUUUCAGUUGUUUUUUCAGGGCGCCACUAUGCCGUUUCACAUUAUGACGUAAUAGAUUUGAAGUCAUAAUAGUGUAUUGUUGAAUGAUAAUUCACAGUUUUCAGCCUUUUUUGUUUAAUAGGAAAAUUAAUCGUAUUGUGUUAAGAGUAAAUAACAGUGAUUUCUUGUUUAAUUAAAUCGUUGUUUGAAAUUCAUAUGUGAAUGAAUUACAUCACGAGUGUGCAGCCCUAUUGAUAUGAUAAUAUAAUCUGAACGACAGUGGAUUUAUUAGCAUGACUAUUCGAAGAAUAUGGGAGCUUUCCUACUCGUCACGGCGUCGGGAUUAGCGUUAGUGUAAGCAUCACACAAAUUUUAAAGUUUGCGUACCACCCCAAAUAUUUUCAAACUCCAUUGAGAUAUUGCUUUGAUAUUUUGCAUACUUGUUAACCAUCAUGACCCCAGUCUGUGAAAAGGAGGAGGCAGCUCUAUCAAGCAUUUUGACUGAAUUAUGGCCCGUUUUUGACUUAGAAUAAAUGUUAAAGUUUACCACCCCAAAUAUUUUCAAAGUCCGUUGAGAUAUUGCUUUGAUACUUUGCAUACUUAUUUACCAUCAUGACCCCAGUCUGUAAAAAGGAGGAGGCAACUCUAUCAAGCAUUUUGACUGAAUUAUGGCCCCUUUUCGGCUUAGAAUAUGCUUAUUGUAAUCAUGUUAAAGUUUUACUCAUAGCUUAUAUUAUACUAUCAAGCACUGAGAUUAGUCGAGCGCGCUGACCACUGACAGCUCUUGUUCAAUAGAAAGUCUUUGAGAUAUACUGAUAUUUUUGUUUUAGCACAUUAUCGAUGGUUAUAAUCUACAUCUUUUAAUAUAUUUAACAAAUAUUUGCGUGUUUUGUGUGGUUGCCGCUAUGAUGUUUGAUGUACGAUGUAGUAACUGUCGCAUAAAAAAGUCUGUUGCAAUAUAUUUUUGAAUUCUAGUUAAACAAAGAAGAAAUCAAACUGUAUAUGCUGCGAUAAACAUUGGUUGACAUGUGAAUCUGUAAGAGAGCAUUUUGACAUCAAAUUGCCGCAUGACAUUCAGUUCGUUACUCCACUGUUAGUGAAGUCCAGCAUAAUAUUUUCUAAAAAGGGAGGUUGGUCAUGACCAGCAGAUGAUUUUGAGGUCAUUUUGUCAAAGAUCAAGGUCACAUUGACCCAGAACAAUAAAACGGUUUCCGGAUGAUAAAAAGAUUGCUUGGGCCUAGGAUCAUGAAAGUUGAUAGGGAGGUUGGUCAUAACCAGCAGAUGACCCCUAUUGAUUUUGAGAUCAGUAUGUCAAAGGUCAAGGUCACAGUGACCAGGAACAGUAAAACGGUUUCCGGGCGAUAACUCAAGAAGGCUUGGGUCUAGGAUCAGGAACAUUAAUAGGGAGAUUGGUCAUGACCAGUAGAUGACCCUUAUUGAUUUUGAUUUUGAGGUCAGAAGGUCAAAGGUCAAGGUUACAGUGAUGCAGAACAUUUAAACCGGUCCCAGACAAAUUAUUUGAUAACGCUUGGGCCCAGGAUCAUGAAAGUUGAUAGGGAGGUUGCUAAUGAUCCGUAGAUCAUCUAAGGUGAUCCCUAUUGAUUUUGAGGUCAGUAAGCUAAAAGUCAAGGUCACAUCGGAACAGUUGAACCUUUUCCGGACGAUACCUUCAGAACGCUUGGGCCUAGGAUUACGAAACCUUGUAGAGAGGUUGAUCAUGACCAGCAGUUGACCCCUGUUGAUUUUUAGGUCAAUAUGUCAAAGGUCAAGGUCACAUUGAACCAGAACAGUAGAAAUUUUGUUUACACUGAGCAAUUACUGAAUGCAUCAAGGCGGGCAUUUCGUGUGCAACGAGCUCUUGUUUAUAUGGGAAAUUAAUCUGGUCAUGUUAAAAUAUAUGUUUGUAAACAUUUUAUACUGGUAAAACCGUAUUUGCUGUGAAGUGCUGCAAAGUAUUGAAAUUGGUUUGAUUAAUAGCUGUCCUGAGCACAAAGUGCUCAUGAUGAGCUGUUGUGAUCAUGCUGUGUCCGUCGUGCAUCUUUCUAGGUCAUCCAUUUGUCGUCAACAGUUGUGUUUAAAAGACAUCUCCUCCAAAACCACUAAAAAGAUUUUUAUGAAACUUAAGGAGUAGACAACCCCUAUUGCUUUUGGGGUUACUCCAUCAAAGGUCAAGUUAACAGGGGCCUGAACAUGGAAAACCAUUUCCGAUCAAUAUCUUGAGAACCACUUGACCAAGAAUGUUGAAACUUCAUAGGAUGACUGAUCAUGCAGAGUAGAUGACCCUUCUUGACUUUGGGGUCACUGCGUUCAAGGUCAAGGUCCUAGGGGCCUAAACAAGGAAAACCAUUUCCAGUCAGAAUGUUGAAAUUUCUUAGGAUGAUUGUUCAUGCAGAGGAGAUGGCCCAUAUCAGUUUAAGGGUCACUCUAUCUAAGGUCAAGGUCAAAGGGGCCUGAACAUUGAAAACCUUUUCCAGUUCAUAACUUGAAAACCACUAGGCCCAGAAUGUUGAAACUUAGUAACAUGAUUGGACAUGCCACAUAGGUGAUCCAUAUUGCAGCCAACCAUCAGUGUUUCUUUGACUUUUUUGAGUUACUGUCAUCACUUGAUCGGUAUUGGCGUCAGCUUUGCAUGGUUAAGUUUUAUGUUUAGGUCACCUUUUCUCCUAAACAGUCAAAGGUAUUGCUUUAAAACUUGAAACACUUGUUCACCAUCAUUACCUGACUCUGUACAACAAGAAACAUAACUCUAUCCUGCUGUUUGCAAGAAUUAUUGCCCCUUUUGGACUUAUAAAAUUUAAAGUAUUUGUUUAGGUCAGCUUUUCUCCUUUACCAUCAAAGCUAUCACCCUCGUCAUAUGACACUAGGUGCAUAAGUUUUGCACCAAUAUUUUAUUAAUUAUGCCCCCCCCCCCCCCACCUUUUACUGAGAGUUAUACUUAUAUUGUGUUUUGAUACACUUGAUAUUUACCUCUCUUAUUACUUAAUAUUUUUGACUCAGAUUCGAGCUAUUGUACAAUAUCUUCAUCCACCAUUGAAGUCAUUAAACAAUCCGGUGACAGCUCCAGUUUCCUCAGAUAUGCCCAGUUUCACUUUCCAGCAUCGAAAUAGUCGAGCGUGCUGUUAACAAUCAGUUUUAUAAACCUCAUUUGCUUAAGGCAUUACAGCUGUAAAAUAAUUGCAGUGUAAAUUAUGUGUAUUUCAGGACACUCUUAAAUUUUUAUUACCUCCCUUUUCCAUAUACAAUAUUUAUUGUAUUUUAAAUAUUUUUGAAUUUUUCUAACAACUUUAAAAUGUUAUCUCUUUCCCAAUAUUAUUAUUAAAUCAUGAAAGAUACAGAAUGGAAAUGUGGAAGAAGAUAUAACUAUGUAAAGUUAGAAUGCUAAAUUUUUAAAAAAAUGUAGGCUGCUACAUUUUAUGAAAAAAUAUUUUCUUCAAUUUUACCUGAAAUUUUAUAUGCAACUUACAUCCAACCUUUAUAAGUUAACUUAAAUGUAUUAUAAAUACAUUAACAUGUGUUAAUAUUUUCUUUAACUUUGCUCCACAAUUUAGCUUAUGUUACAGGAUUUAAGACUUGAAUUUUCAACUUAACAAAUGUUUAUUUUACCUUUAUUAGAUUAUUAAAUCAAUAACUCAAUAACCUCUAUGUGCAAGCUGAAUUGUAUUAAAUUUGUAAAGUUGUUCAUGCAUUCAUUUAUCAAUAGACACUAGUCAUAUGUAUCUAUUUAUUUAUUUUUUAAAUUUAUUUUGAUGAUAUGGACAUAUUUAUAUCAGUAAUAAAGGGAGAUAAUUUAAAUGACUUGAACAAAGAAUGUGAUAUCUGUGUGUAGAUUUGUAAUUUCUGCUAUAGUUUUUUUAUUAAAAUUAUUAUAUUUUAUAUAUCCAUUGCAAUAUAACUUUGAUUAUUAAACACCAUAUGAAACCUUGACGACUUGCGUAUGUUUUUAUUUUUUUUCAGUUUAAAGUACCAUGACUUUAGAAAUAGACCAUAAAUGGGGAAACACCUCUGAAUCUAUAAAUAGUUUUCCCUGGUAGUUAAAUAGUGUAGAAAGAGUUAUCUUUCACUGGCAUCACUUUUUGAGAUGGGACAAAAUUUUUCAGCCUGAAUAUUUUCUUUCAUCAAGAAAGAUGGAGACAGAAAACUAGAUCCUUGUAAAAUAUGGGUACCCCACUAUAUAAUUUUAAAUAACCAGCAAUAUCAAAUGAACUUUAAAAUUUUAGGUACCA